GUUCUCAGUCAUCUUCUCCAGAACACUAAUAUCAUUUUUCCUUGAAAGAGCUAAGAUUAGAGUAACGGCGCAAAUCACUUAAGAGCAUGCCAUUAAUCUUCACAUUCAAUUUCAGUAAAGUCUAGAACCCACUACUUCUCACACCGUCCUCUUCAGCUUCUUUGUAAUCUCAUACCUAUAAAAAGGCAUCUUCUGUACCAUGAUUUUCACAGAUUCCUUCAUUUUCCACUCAACAUAUAAAGAUGAACCUUGAAGAACAAUAGCGACUUCCAAGACAACACUUUCUGAAUUGAAGCCUGAGCCUUGCAGUCGAAUCGUUGUCUCACGCAUCUCCGUUUUGGGAAGCUAUGAAUGUGAAGAAUAUGUGAUCACUGUUGAUCCUCAGAUUAUUGAGUUUCUCUUCACUGCCAAAGUGAACGAAAUUCAUGCGGAUAAAGGUUGGUGUUAUGGCUGCCCUCGCGUGUUCAAAGAAAUUGGUGCGAAAGAUAUAUUCAUUCACAUGUCUCUUUUUUUAAUAAGACUGAUGAUGUGGGUGUGCUGAGGUUCCGUGUGGAACUCUCUGUGUUGACAUACUGGUUCAGCUGUCUUAGUGGCCUUUGAUGAGGAGAUGGCUACAAUUACCAACAUUCAAGCUUCUAAAGCUGUGUAUAUUGUGGGAGGUGCAGUCCCUCAAGCUAAGCUGCCUGGAGUCGAGACACAAGGAUCAGCUGUUGAUUGCAAUGUUUCAGCAGUAUCAACCAAGCAGCAACUUGAUCCAGAAGAAAAUGGACCGAAGAAAGCUGCACCACCGCAAAAUGAACUUAUGAAACUUUUGGCUUUAGCAUCUUCUCAAUUUCUGUUUAGCAUCUUCCCAAUUUCUGUUUUCCUUUUUUUGUCUUUAAAUUCGAUGUGGUGGUCGAUGCUUCAAACUAUUAAUGAAAUUUCGUUUUCCUCUUUCUGCCUUUUGCUUUUUAAUACCAUAUAUAGCUGUCAAAACUCAAAAUCUUUUUGUUUUUUGGUAAAAAUAUAGCAGUAGGGGUCAAAUUUGUAUUAC